rnacentral:lncRNA from 1 species
UUAUAUGUGAUUAUGAUCUUCAGGCUUUGCCUAACCAGGUGGGCAUUACUUUUACUAUACGUAUAUAGAGAUCCCCUGCAUGUCGUAGGCCUCUUAUACGAAUAUAUGCAUGAGAUGAUUUUAACUGUUAAUUUCAGUUUAUUAUUAUGCCCAAAUGAUAAAUGACUCUUAUGAAAUAAAAAUGAAAUGUUUAUGAAAUGAAAUGAAAUGUUUAUGAAAUGAUUGACUGCCAAAAAUGUUUAUGUUUUUAUAUGUAUCCUAUCUGUGUUGGUUCGCCAACUUUAAAGGAAAUCCAAUUGGGAUCCUAUGCUAGACAAAGGUCGCUAGCUAGGGUUAACGUGUACACUUAUGGAGACCGCGAGUCGCUUGCGACCGGUCUUGGCGUCCGUGGUAAGGAGGCCUCCUUCCCGGCGCGUGACAGAAAUGAACAGAUAUGGAUCAUAUGAAGGAAAAUGAUCGGCCGAUCGACUUUAUGAAAAUGAAAGAAAUAUUUUAGUAAGCGCAGGUCAUUUCAAGAAAACCCCUGUGUGUUACUGUUAUGGCAGUUCAAUUUAUAUAUGUAUGCAUGAAUGUAUUUUCGGCUAUGCCCACUGAGUAUUUUUAUACUCAGCCCUGCAUGUAUUUCUAAAUGUGCAGGUUGAGCAGUUGAUGGAAUGGAAUGAUGUUGAGCGGGUGUUCCUUUGAUCAUUUCAAGAAAUGUAACCUUGAGUAUACAUCUUCAUAUGUAUAUCUCACACGUUUUCCGCUGCAAAAUACGUUGAUUAGGAUAGCCCUAUGUUAUGAAGUUGGGAUACGUGUUAUUGGGUAACCCACCUUAAUCAGUUCUCAUUUAUGUGUAUGUUUUAUAAGUAUCCAAAUAAUCAUAUAUGAUCCUAGCAUUUUAU